rnacentral:rRNA from 1 species
UACGGAGGGGACUAGCGUUGUUCGGAAUUACUGGGCGUAAAGCGCACGUAGGCGGAUUUGUAAGUCAGUCGUGAAAUCCCGGGGCUCAACCUCGGAACUGCCUUUGAUACUGCAAAUCUCGAGUCCGGAAGAGGUGAGUGGAAUUCCUAGUGUAGAGGUGAAAUUCGUAGAUAUUCGGAAGAACACCAGUGGCGAAGGCGACUCACUGGACAAAUAUUGACGCUGAGGUGCGAAAGCGUGGGGAGCAAACAGG